rnacentral:lncRNA from 1 species
UCAUCUCUAAACAGAUCUGGGGGCCAGGCUAUCUUGUAUCAUCUCUAAACACAUCCAGGGGCCCAGGCUAUCUUGUAUCAUCUCUAAACAGAUCUGGGGGCCCAGGCUAUCUUGUAUCAUCUCUAAACAGAUCCAGGGGCCCAGGCUAUCUUGUAUCAUCCUUAAACAGAUCUGGGGGCCCAGGCUAUCUUGUAUCAUCUAAAAAACAGAUCUGGGGCGCCAGGCUAUCUGUACAUCUCGUAAACACAUCCAGGGG